UACGUAGGGUGCGAGCGUUAAUCGGAAUUACUGGGCGUAAAGCGUGCGCAGGCGGUGAUGUAAGACAGGUGUGAAAUCCCCGGGCUUAACCUGGGAACUGCAUUUGUGACUGCAUCGCUGGAGUGCGGCAGAGGGGGAUGGAAUUCCACGUGUAGCAGUGAAAUGCGUAGAGAUGUGGAGGAACACCGAUGGCGAAGGCAGCCUCCUGGGCCAGCACUGACGCUCAUGCACGAAAGCGUGGGGAGCAAACAGG
rnacentral:rRNA from 1 species